UAUUUUAUAUUUUGUGAAACACUCUAGAUGCUGUGUGAGCUCAAACCAGGGCUUUGAGAACAAAUGAAUUAAGAAACUGGCUGGAGACGGCAAGAUUUCAGAUGUUUCUUAUAGUAUGUGUAGGAGGAGAGGAGGAGAAAGGAAUGCCCCUCUGUGGGAGGAAAGAAGAGUGCAGUCCUUUGAAAAGACAGACCACACAGAUGAUGAACUAGUGUGUACUUCAAAGUCUGCACAAGGUCCUCCUCGAUGAGCUGAGUGGGUUGGACUCUUGGACAAUGGACCCAACCCUGCUCUCCAUCUACUUUAACCCCCUUGCUUCAAGGAAAAGAACCUGCAUUUUCAUGUAUCAGUUCAAGAGUUUUGGGGGUAGCUAGCUGAGAAGGCAGGGUACCUAUUGUGCCAUAUAUUGAUUUAAUUUUAUUUUCUUUGGAGUUUGGAGUCUUUUUAUCAAUCUCAUACAUUUGACUUCAUAGCUAAGUUUUAUAAGAUAAGUUUAGAAAAAGAAGCCUUUAUACGUGUUUAUUUUAAGCAUGUUUAUACGUGCAUGUUAUUUGAGCCUUUUCUCAUGACCUGUAAUUCUCAAACAUAUGCUAUCACCAGAAAAAGACAAGGUAUAAAAAUGCAAAGGGGAACUGUAUUUUAAGUCCCCAAACUCUUCAAUUUUUGUGAAAACAACACAGUCUACUUUGUGAAAUUAGAAACUUGGGGAAUGUGAAUUAUACUUAAUCUAAUUUACAAAGUGGCUCUAACUAGAAAAUAGGAAUGACCUUUGUUUUUUACAUCACUGCUGGGAAGCUGAGUUAUAAUACCAUCA